GACGAACGCUGGCGGCGUGCUUAACACAUGCAAGUCGAACGGAAAGGCCCUGCUUUUGUGGGGUGCUCGAGUGGCGAACGGGUGAGUAACACGGGAGUAACCUGCCCUGUACUUUGGGAUAACUUCAGGAAACUGGGGCUAAUACCGGAUAGGAGCGCCUGCUGCAUGGGGGGGGUUGGAAAGUUUAGGCGGUUGGGGAUGGACUCGCGGCUUAUCAGCUUGUUGGUGGGGUAGUGGCUUACCAAGGCUUUGACGGGUAGCCGGCCUGAGAGGGUGACCGGCCACCUUGGGACUGAGAUACGGACCAGACUCCUACGGGAGGCAGCAGUGGGGAAUCUUGCACAAUGGGCGGAAGCCUGAUGCAGCAACGCCGCGUGCGGGAUGCCGGCCUUCGGGUUGUAAACCGCUUUCGCCUGUGACGCAGCGUGAGUGACGGUAAUGGGUAAAGAAGCACCGGCUAACUACGUG
rnacentral:rRNA from 1 species